GAGAGAGAGAGAGAGAGAGAGAGAGAGAGAGAGAGAGAGAGAGAGAGAGAGAGAGAGAGACUGAAGCUAGAGACCAGCUAAGGACAGACCACGCCUUCUAAAACACCAAUUUGGCUUACCCAGAAGAAGCAAAUUUUAUAUACCACUUUAAAGAUUCUAAGUGUUCAUUAACAGAAAACGAAGCUCACUUUACAAUAGGUAGAAAUUUAUCUGGUGAAAGAGGAGGCAGACUCUAGUCUUUCAGGCAUGGACCUGUGUCUUGCUCACCCUGAAGCAAGAUUGGUAGCCACUGGAGGAUUGGAGCCACGCAAAGUUCAGGUCAGAGCCAAUUGGAACUAUGUGAAAGUCAGUGUUGCUGGACUAUGGAGGAGGAUCCAGGAAACACAGUGGGAAACUGGUCCAGAAUCUCACAAUCUACACUCUUGGGUAACAAUUUGCUCUUUAUUUUAAGUACAGGGUCCCUCAUCACCCUGAAGCUCAUUGAUUGGCUGGUCGGGCUGGCCUGCAAGCACCGGGGAUCCUCUGAUCUCUGCUUCUCCAGUCCUGGGAUUACAGGAGUACAGCAGGACGCCUGGCUUUUUACAUAGGUACUACAGGGAUGCUCGCAUGCCUUCAUGCUUACACAGAAGACACUUUAUGAACUGAGUCAUCUUCUCAGGCCUUUUAAUUCUUAAAUAAACAGCAACAAAUCUUGUUUGAUAUAAA